rnacentral:lncRNA from 1 species
GGGAUUGAUUGGAUGCAUCUCAUACUAAUAAAAUUUUGUGUCGGAUCGUUGACGCUAAUCAUUAAUUUUAAAAAUUCGAGCUACAGAAAAGAUACAAUUAAUUCACUUAAAUCGUACAGACAUAGCGCCCGUGAAUUUUGAUUGUAAUUCGUCUCAACCAGUCUCUUGCAGUUUCGAACAUGACUCAACCCAAUCAGACAUAGAGCAGAAUGCUGGCUCCUUUAAGCCAAUAUUUUUAAUCCAAAUUAUUGUACUAUUUUUUAAAUAAUUUUUAAAUUAUAAAGUAUUAGUUAUUUUGAUAGUGGGAAUG